rnacentral:piRNA from 1 species
UGGCUGGUGGAGCUAGUUGAUCUCUCUGA